rnacentral:lncRNA from 10 species
AUGGACUGAUGGCCGCUGAGGCUGCUCCUGGCGCGGUUCAUCAUCGGCCGCCGCACUUUCGCGACUGAGACGAAACGACACUCACCUUUACUUAAUGGAAGGCUUCGCUUACAUCCUGAACUUAAAGGAACUACAGAAAGGGACAGAAACUGCUUUCUUUUUAAACAAUGCGCUGAAACUUUAUCUGGACUCCUGUCGUACUUGGCCCAGCUCCACUGGAUUCAGCCCUUGGAUAACCACCCUACCAGCCCCUAAAGAUGACUCCAUCCCCGUCGGUAUAGUUAAUUAAAGAAAAACAGGAGUCGAAUUUUCCUGGGGUAUAUGAAAUAAUGUCACUACAUCGGAGCAGCGCCUCUGCUUGCACACCUAUGGGAGUCUGCAGCUGUGACACGUAGAAGUUGGCCACAUCCAGGUCGGUGGCUCCAAAGUGGGCGGCCACACGCACACCCUCGUGCAACGUGAAGCUCACCUGAUGACCCACCAUGGCCAGCAGGCUGCGGAGGUAACGCUCCCGAAGGGCGGCUCGUGCCCGCUGCUCCUGGGAUUCCAGGGAUUCUUGAGCUAUGGGACACUCCUGGAUUUCAGGAACCUCUGGCCUCAAGGGGGCUCUGCGUCCAUCAGGGGCAAAGCCACGGCUGAAGCCAUCAGGGCCCCGGGGCAGCCGGAGCACAGGCACGGGAAUGUUCACUGGAGUUUGCAUUGUCUUGGCUGUUGAGUGAAGAAAAAGAGCAGGAAGUCAUUACAUGGCUCUUCCUGUCUCUGCACCUGAACUGUGAGCCCCUUGCAAGACAGGACCCUGCAGAUAGACCAAGGAUGUGAACCAGGGCUACUCAGUCUGGACACUAUUGACAUUUGGGGCUGGAUAAUUAUCUGCUAUGUUGUGGGGGCUGUCCAACGCAUAGGUGUAGGGUUUGAGCAGCAUCCUAGCCUCUGCCUCCUAUUAAUAGA